CACGCCGUAAACGAUGAAUGCUAGGUGUCGGGGGUCGAACCUCGGUGCCGCAGCUAACGCAUUAAGCAUUCCGCCUGGGGAGUACGGUCGCAAGACUGAAACUCAAAGGAAUUGACGGGGACCCGCACAAGCAGCGGAGCAUGUGGUUUAAUUCGAAGCAACGCGAAGAACCUUACCAGGACUUGACAUCCUCUGCAUUAACCUUAAUAGGUGAAAUCCCUUCGGGGACAGAGAGACAGGUGG
rnacentral:rRNA from 1 species